UUCACCGGGUUACAGCCCUACUGUUUUGGGAAAACUGUACGGAGGUUAAAGGAAUUGGUUUUAGAUGGGAGAUACUUUAAAGUUUUAAUGCUGGAUAAAUAAUGGACUCGAGGGUUUCUGCUUCUGGUUCAAAUUCCAGUAAGUGAAAGUUUGGGUCUUAAAUGGCGACAGAGGUUUUACAUAGGAAUCAGCUACAGAUUGAAGAGGAAUAGUCUACAAAUGGGUUUCAAGCUAGGUGGUUGGGGAAAAAAAGAUUGAUUUAUUAUAUGGACAUGCAAGCUUUUCUAAAGUAUGUAGGCUAGCAGCUAUAGAUGAUGAUAUGAGGUUACUGUGGAACUUGGGUUA